rnacentral:rRNA from 1 species
UCCUGGCUCGGAAUGAACGUUGGCGGCGUGGAUUAGGCAUGCAAGUCGUAACGCACAGCUUCGGCUGUGAGUGGCGCAAGGGUGAGUAAUGCGAAAGGGUUAAACCAAACCCCCUUGGGUGUUGGGGCCAUAACCGCGGGAAACUGCGGGUAAUUCCCAGCGACGUCGCGAGAUGGCAUCAUCUUGCGACCAAAGGUGUGAUUCCGCUCUAGGACGGGCCUUCGUGGUAUUAGGUAGUUAGGUGAGGUAACGGCUCACCAAGCCGACGAUGCCUACCGGGUGUGAGAGCAUGACCCGGCACACUGGAACUGAGACACUGUCCAGACACCUACGGGUGGCUGCAGUCGAGAAUCUUCGGCAAUGGGCGAAAGCCUGACCGAGCGACGCCGCGUGAGGGAAGAAGGCCUUCGGGUUGUAAACCUCUUUCGUAGAGGAGGAAGGGGCCGUGCAGAGCGGUCUUUGACCUAUUCUAGGAAGAAGCUUGGGCUAAGUUCGUG